UGUCUUCUGUUUAGAGAAGAGGACUGGCUUCUCCUGCACCUGAGGCCUGGAGGGUAAAGCAGAGGAGCAGAAGCAAUAAACAUGGGGUCUUUCAAAAAUUGGCUCAAUUGUCAUCUACAUUUUACAGAGGAGAAAAAAAGGCUCAGAGAUAUAACAUGACUUUCCCAAGGCCACAGGCCUUGAAAGUACAAAUUGGAUCAUCCUUAUCGACACCUUCCUGUGGCAAUCAGAAUAAAACAUCGAUGUCGGACCAGGACCUAAGUGUGAUACGAGUCCUGCUAACAUCUCUGA